rnacentral:rRNA from 1 species
UACGUAGGGAGCAAGCGUUGUCCGGAAUCAUUGGGCGUAAAGCGCACGUAGGCGGUCUGUUAUGUCGGAUGUGAAAGCCCUUGGCUUAACUGAGGAAGUGCAUCCGAAACUGGCAGGCUAGAGUACUAAAGAGGGUCGCGGAAUUCCCGGUGUAGAGGUGAAAUUCGUAGAUAUCGGGAGGAACACCGGUGGCGAAGGCGGCGACCUGGGUAGAUACUGACGCUGAGGUGCGAAAGCGUGGGGAGCAAACAGG